UUGACGUCUCGUCCUCUGUUGGCUGUUGCUGUUUGGUCCCGCGAUGCAUUGAGAGAGGAAAAUCCCCACCAUUUGCGAGCGCUCGACGUCUCGCCGUCUCCCUCACCUCGCGCCGCCGGAAAGCCCUCGCGGCUCAAUGGCGGUGUGCGCGGAGCUGAGCCAGCUGCAGCACAUCGAGCCCUCCCGCUUCAUCUCCUUCUCCUUCCCCAACCCUCUCCUCCACGAUGCCUCCAACCCUUACGGCGACGCCGACGACCACGCGGAGCUCCUCCGGGUGGCCGUCAUCGACUCCCCUGCCCCCGCGGCGCCAUCCCCGCCCUCCCCGCGGACGGCGGCGAUGCUCGUCCCGGCCGGCCGGCACUGCGACUGGAUCUUCUCCACCCGCGCCGGGCAGCUCCACCUCCUCCUCUCCUCCCGAUCCCAGUGCACAAUCUCUCGUCUUAUACUCGUCGGCCCAGAGAUCCCCGCUCCCUCUCCUCGGGUCGUUCGCUGCGCCGCCGCUCGCCCGGACCCGGAUCCUGCUCGCGCGCGGCUCCUCCCGCUCCUCCUGGCCCUCUGCCCCAGGGCUGCGUUUGGCAACGGUGCCAUCCCUGACGUCCCGCUGCUCUCCUUCCACGAUGACCUCCUUCGGCUUGUUCCUGUCCAGGUUGUCGCCGGUCCUGUCGUCGGCGAGAUGCUUGUCGAGGAUGUGGCCGUGGACUGCGCUCCUGGCCCGGCCGAGUUGCGCCGGAGGCUGCGUUUCAAGCGCAUGCCGUGCCUUAUACAGACCCAGGUGCGCCUUGCCCGGCCAAUGUCUGCUGCUGCUGCCGCUGCUUCUUCUUCGUUGUUGGAGGCAUUGGAGGAGGGGCCUGCUAGUUCGUUACAGCCUGAGGUGGGUGGACCAUUAGUCCAGCCUUACCUCCAGGCCAUGGUUGCUGGCCUUGCACUCAUUGAUUCAUCGGUGGAGGAGAAUGCUCGGUCAGGUUCAAGGCCGAGGUGCCUUUGCGCUGGCGUUGGUGGUGGAGCUCUUCCAAUGUCCAUCAGAGUGGGACUUGGCUUCGAUGUACUGGGCGUUGAGGCUGAUUGUGUUGUCCUAGACGUUGCAAGGAACUAUUUUGGACUGGUGGAGGAUGAGUUCCUUCAUGUACGUGUUGGCGAUGCUAUUCAAAUGGUUCAGGAUUUUGCACAUGGAGAUGAGCCUGAUUCGAAAUUCAGUGCAAUUAUGGUGGAUCUUGACUCCCCUGAUGCUAUGUGUGGUGUCAGUGCGCCGCCAUUGGAGAUGACCCAUAGAAGCAUCCUUCUUGCUGCACGCAGAAUUCUACAUCAUCAUGGAGUGCUGGUACUGAAUGUAAUCCCUCCUGCUGCUGAUGCAUCCUUCUACAAAGGGCUGAUUGAUGUUCUUCACCAGGUUUUCUCUGAGUUACACGAAAUAGAUGUUGGUAAUGGUGAAAAUUUUGUUCUUGUUGCCAGAGUGUCACCGACUGAAAGCACCCUUCUUGAUAGUUCAAGGCUCUUUCGGACGGAAUUGAGGAAAUUAACUGGGGAUUUUUUGGAACUAAUAAGAAAAGUUGAAAUUCCAAGUUAGUAUUGCUGUUUGAAGUCAUGACCUAGAGAGAGGCUGUUCCAGACUUAUAUUUGGGUCUGAUAUAUAGUGCUAAGGUCAUGGCUAUAUUAGAAUUUUGACAGCCUGUUUGAGCAUUACUACAGAACUGCUGGGUUUGCUUUUGUUAUUUUGCUGCUAUGCAAACUGAGCAUUUGCUGCUGUGCUUUAGAUCAUAUCUGAGUGAGCAAUACCUUAACUUCAUAUUGUCUUCCGAGGCUGAAUACUUUAGGAGGAGCGACAAUGAUGGAAAGUGCGGGGUAAAGAACUCUUGCAAAUUCGCUUCAAUCCAGGAGCUGUGGAAUACCAAUUUUUUUGGAAGUUCACGACCAGUUAAAGGUUAAUGCCACAUGUUGACAAGCUUAGGCAGCGAUUCAGGGUGCAACAAGAUCAACUAAGUUACAUGAGAUGCUCUUUAUCCUUCAUCAACUGAUAGGUGCAUAUGAUCAUGAAGAUUGUUCUGUCCUGCCAACCAUUGUACGACAGUUGGAAUUGAUGUCAGUUUGGUUUGAACGAGAAAAAGAGUGGUUACCAAUUAUUUAGCUGGGCAGGAAUCUUUCUGUUUACCUAGAUGGUGGGGUCAACUUUAUUCGAUCAAGCUUCUUGGAUGAGCAGCAUCCAUAUGUUUAUCUGCUGUGAUGUGUACAGCAAUUAAACGACGAAUCUUUAGCGGAAGAAAUGCCAAAAUGCGAGCAAAUGAUUUCAUCAGUUGGAGAGAGUUCAUACGCAGAUGUUUGAGUGGAGUACUCUACCGUUGAACAUGCCUAGUGGCCUGAAUAUUUCAACCAGUUCACCAAGGAUGUGUUCACGACGUCUCAGACCUCCAUUGGUUUGGAUGAAUAUUAUAGAAAAAAUUCCUUUGGAAUCCUUUGGUUUGUAGGAAUGAAUUCCUAUUUCUACGGAGGAAUUCUCCCUACCCUUCAUAUUUCAAAUAUUUAAGACUUGAUGGAAAAAUUCCUAUGAUAUGAACCAAAGGAUUUCUCUUUUUCUAUUU